rnacentral:SRP_RNA from 1 species
GCCAGGUGUGGUGGCUCACGCCUGUAAUCCCAGCACUUUGGGAGGCUGAGGUGGGUGGAUCACCUGAGGUCGGGAGUUCGAGACCAGCCUGACCAACAUGGAGAAACCCCAUCUCUA